AUGAUUAUGGCCAUUGAUUCAUUUCUUCUCUUUCUCAUUCAGCAGUUCUUAUUUAUUCUAUUCAGCACAUAUGUUACAUAUAAUAAAGGUGGUGAGGAUAUUGGUUACUAUCAAUUUGGGAUAGUGUCAAUGACAUUGUGGAAUUAUCAGUGCAGGUGUUUUUAUGAUUUACCUUAUAAUUUGAUUAUCGAGGAUAUUCUAAUCAGGAGGCCACUUUGUUACUUUUAG